rnacentral:rRNA from 1 species
AUAGCGUAUAUUAAAGUUGUUGCAGUUAAAAAGCUCGUCGUUGAACCUUGGAUCUGGCUGCUCGGUCCGCCUAACCGCGUGCACUGGUGCGGCCGGAUCUUUCCUUCUGGCUAGCCUCAUGCUCUUCACUGGGUGUGUUGGGGAUCCAGGACUUUUACUUUGAAAAAAUUAGAGUGUUCAAAGCAGGCCUAUGCUCGAAUACAUUAGCAUGGAAUAAUAGAAUAGGACGGCGGUUCUAUUUUGUUGGUUUCUAGAGCCACCGUAAUGAUUAAUAGGGAUAGUCGGGGGCAUCAGUAUUCAAUUGUCAGAGGUGAAAUUCUUGGAUCUAUUGAAGACUAACUACUG